UACGUAGGUGGCAAGCGUUGUCCGGAUUUACUGGGCGUAAAGAGCGCGCAGGCGGUCGUUCAAGUCGCGUGUGAAAGCCCCCGGCUCAACUGGGGAGGGUCACGCGAUACUGAUCGACUCGAAGGCAGGAGAGGGUAGUGGAAUUCCCGGUGUAGUGGUGAAAUGCGUAGAUAUCGGGAGGAACACCAGUGGCGAAGGCGACUACCUUGCCUGUUUCUUGACGCUGAGGCGCGAAAGCUAGGGGAGCAAACGGG
rnacentral:rRNA from 1 species